GAGUUUGAUCCUGGCUCAGCCUGAACGCUGGCGGCGUGGCUAAGACAUGCAAGUCGUACGGAUGUAGCAAUACAUCAGUGGCGAACGGGAGAGUAAUGAAUCGCUAAUGUGCCCUGGACUCUGGGAUAGCUAGCUGAAAGGUUAGGUAAUACCAGAUGAUAUGCCUUUAUCGCAUGAUAGAGGCCUCAAAGGUCCGCCGGUCUGGGAGCAGGCGAUUUCGUAUCAGCUAGUUGGUGAGGUGACGGCUCACCAAGGCGACGACGCGUAGCCGGACUGAGAGGUUGGCCGGCCUCAUUGGGACUGAGACACUGCCCAGACUCCUACGGGGGGGCUGCAGUAACGAAUCUUCCGCAAUGCACGAAAGUGUGACGGAGCGACGCCGCGUGUGGGACGAAGCCCUUCGGGGUGUAAACCGACUGUCAGAGGAUAGAAAGUUCUGAUCAUCCUCAGAGGAAGGCACGGCUAACUCUGUGCCAGCCGCCGCCGU
rnacentral:rRNA from 1 species